GUGGUUUAAUUCGAUGCAACGCGAAGAACCUUACCUACUACUUGACAUCCAGUAGAACUUAGCAGAGAUGCUUUGGUGCCUUCGGGAACUCUGAGUACAGGUGCUGCAUGGCUGUCGUCAGCUCGUGUUGUGAAAUGUUGGGUUAAGUCCCGCAACGAGCGCAACCCUUAUCCUUUGUUGCCAGCGGUYMGGCCGGGAACUCAAAGGAGACUGCCAGUGAUAAACUGGAGGAAGGUGGGGAUGACGUCAAGUCAUCAUGGCCCUUACGAGUAGGGCUACACACGUGCUACAAUGGCGCAUACAAAGAGAAGCGACCUCGCGAGAGCAAGCGGACCUCAUAAAGUGCGUCGUAGUCCGGAUUGGAGUCUGCAACUCGACUCCAUGAAGUCGGAAUCGCUAGUAAUCGUGGAUCAGAAUGCCACGGUGAAUACGUUCCCGGGCCUUGUACACACCGCCCGUCACACCAUGGGAGUGGGUUGCAAAAGAAGUANGUAGCUUAACCUUCGGGAGGGCGCUUACCACUUUGUGAUUCAUGACUGGGGUGAAGUC
rnacentral:rRNA from 1 species